rnacentral:lncRNA from 1 species
AGUGACAGGUGGGCAUCAGAGUGCAGAUUGGUGUGGAAUUCACAAGAGGGUUCCCAGAACUUAGAAGAGGGAUCCUCGCUGGGCCAGCACCCUUCCUUGCAGAUUCUGGCUAACGAUCAACGUUUCCUUGGCUUUCUCUCCUUGCAUGCCUCAGUGGGAGGCGAGCUGCUCCGUAACUCCGCACUGGCUGGGGGCGGUUGCUCUCAGAGCUGGAGCUGGAGGAACCCGCGUGUGAAUGAGACGGCUGUCAGCAUCACCGCACUCAGGACUCCCUGUGCAGGGAGCAACACACCAGAAGUGCAGAGCCCCCGAUCUUCUGGCUCACUUGAAUUUGUGCUCCAGCCUAUUACAUAUUUUUUUUUCACACACAUGAUCAUUUGUUUGCAGUCUGGAAAUAUAAAACCACUCAAGAAAUGGGGGCCAAACUAUUGGUAAGGAACUUCUCAUCCACAUUUGGUGUCUCACAAUGUGUGUGGUAAGCAACUGAGUGAUUUAUCUUCCCCUCUGUCUGUUUGCUUCUCAAGUUAUGUUCCUUCCCUUUGGAUGGGAUUCAUCUGUUGUUCUGCUC